rnacentral:ncRNA from 1 species
CGGGACCUACGGGGCCCUUAAAUUGCGGCGGGACCGACCCGUCGCCACAAUCAACGGAAGACAGAAA